rnacentral:rRNA from 1 species
ACGAACGCUGGCGGCAUGCCUAACACAUGCAAGUCGAACGAGACCUUCGGGUCUAGUGGCGCACGGGUGCGUCACGCGUGGGAACCUGCCCUUAGGUUCGGAAUAACUCCCCGAAAGGGGUGCUAAUACCGGAUAAUGUCUUCGGACCAAAGAUUUAUCGCCUUUGGAUGGGCCCGCGUUGGAUUAGCUAGUUGGUAGGGUAAAAGCCUACCAAGGCGACGAUCCAUAGCUGGUCUGAGAGGAUGAUCAGCCACACUGGGACUGAGACACGGCCCAGACUCCUACGGGAGGCAGCAGUAGGGAAUAUUGGACAAUGGGCGAAAGCCUGAUCCAGCAAUGCCGCGUGAGUGAUGAAGGCCUUAGGGUUGUAAAGCUCUUUUACCCGGGAUGAUAAUGACAGUACCGGGAGAAUAAGCUCCGGCUAACUCCGUG